rnacentral:rRNA from 1 species
UACGGAGGGUGCGAGCGUUGUCCGGAAUCACUGGGCGUAAAGGGCGCGUAGGCGGUCUGCUAAGCGUGUGGUGAAAGCUCGGGGCUCAACCCCGAGUCUGCCAUGCGAACUGGUGGACUAGAGCACUGUAGAGGCGAGUGGAAUUCCGGGUGUAGCGGUGGAAUGCGUAGAGAUCCGGAAGAACACCGGUGGCGAAGGCGGCUCGCUGGGCAGUAGCUGACGCUGAUGCGCGACAGCGUGGGGAGCAAACAGG